GCCGGGCACGGCCCCCUUGGUGGUCCCGCCGCGCUCGCGCGCAGGCGCAGCCCCGCGCAGGGAGCGGCCGCGCGCUCUGCCGGGGGCGGGGCCGGUGCCCGCGACUGCGCGAGCGCAGGGAGAGGGGCGGGGCUUAGCGCGCACCGCCCGCCGGGGGAGAGGCCGCUGAGGGGCCGCCCCGCCCGGCCGAGGAGCCGCGGCCCGGGACUGCUGAGAACGGCUGGGGAAAGCUCCGGGCCGGGCCCGGGCCCACCUCACCUCAGCGCCCGGGCGGCAGCUUCUGAUUUUUAAGAGUCCUCUAGCACAGCAACAGUGAAGAUCAGAGUCCUGUUAUGUGACUGGAUCAAUGUCUUUAAUGGCCUCCUGCUGUGUGUACCUGUCAUGCCUGGCCACCUCUGUGUCACCUGCUGUUGGAGUCCAGUGCAAUAACCUGCCGUGGUGGUGAGAAUGCUGUCAGCCCCUUCCCACUCACUUGGGGCUCGGCUAGGACACAGCAUGAGGCCUCAGAUGCAGGGCAUUUGUAAUGAAUGUCCCUGUGAACUCCACGCUGUUCCUAAUGCCCAGGCUGGGACAUUUCCCCCCACGUCUCAGCCAGUCAGGCCUAAUGGCUGUGGGAUGCUUGUCAUGAACCUGCUUUGGGCAGAAAUACAGAUAAACAUAUCCAAGUUUCCCUUUUCAUCCAGAGGCUCAGAGUAAAGCAGAGUAAUGAGUCCAGGGGCUCACUGAAGGACAGAGGACCAGGAGGUGAGCCGGGCAGGAGCCUCCCAGUGCAGCACCUGAGUGCACACCUGUGUGCAGGGAACAGGGCUGAGGGUGGCAGCCAGGGCCAAGCAGAGCAUCAGGGCAGCUGGUGUUGAUAAGGUCCAGCCAGAACAUCAGUCCAUGGGUCAGGGUCAGGUCUAGGGACAGUAACCAGGGUUACACAGUCAGCUGAGUGCCAGGCGGGUCUGUAUGCCAAGGCAGGUGAUGUGGGCUUGGUACACCUGGGCACAGCCUCUGGGCCUCUCUUGUUUGUCCUGCUCAGGUGCUGGGGGAGGCCUUGGAGGCCUCUGACAGCUGUGCUAUGGUGUUCAACUCCUGGCUCUUCAUCCUUUAGUGA